AGUGAACGCUGGCGGUAGGCCUAACACAUGCAAGUCGAACGGCAGCACAGUAAGAGCUUGCUCUUACGGGUGGCGAGUGGCGGACGGGUGAGGAAUACAUCGGAAUCUACUUUUUCGUGGGGGAUAACGUAGGGAAACUUACGCUAAUACCGCAUACGACCUACGGGUGAAAGCAGGGGAUCUUCGGACCUUGCGCGAUUGAAUGAGCCGAUGUCGGAUUAGCUAGUUGGCGGGGUAACGGCCCACCAAGGCGACGAUCCGUAGCUUGUCUGAGAGGAUGAUCAGCCACACUGGAACUGAGACGCGGUCCAGACACCUACGGGAGGCAGCAGUGGGGAAUAUUGGACACUGGGCGCAAGCCUGCUCCAGCCAUACCGCGUGGGUGAAGAAGGCCUUCGGGUUGUAAAGCCGUUUUGUUGGGAAAGAAAAGCAGCAGGUUAAUACCCCGCUGUUCUGACGGUACCCAAAGAAUAAGCACCGGCUAACUUCGU
rnacentral:rRNA from 1 species